UACGUAGGUGGCAAGCGUUGUCCGGAUUUAUUGGGUUUAAAGGGUGCGUAGGCGGCCUAUUAAGUCAGUGCUGAAAUAUCCCGGCUUAACCGGGAGGGUGGCAUUGAUACUGAUGGGCUUGAGUUCAGUCGAGGUAGGCGGAAUUGACGGUGUAGCGGUGAAAUGCUUAGAUAUCGUCAAGAACACCGAUAGUGUAGACAGCUUACUAGGCUGAAACUGACGCUGAGGCACGAAAGUGUGGGGAUCAAACAGG
rnacentral:rRNA from 1 species